rnacentral:misc_RNA from 1 species
UCAAUUAAUUGACGAUAGAUCUGUCAAAAUGAAUUAUUGCAUUUCCUUGAUAAAAAAUUAAAUUAACCUAUGUGAACUACUUUGUUAUCGAAACUAUGUUUAGAGAACGUCAGUUCAUGAAGUAUGUUUGUUGAUCUGUUCUUGAAGCAUUCAGUCAUUUAGCGAAUCUGUAGAUGCAUAUUGAAGGCGUGAGGAGACGUGAGUGAGGCGAGGAGGCGUGAGGAGGGGAGCUGUGAUGGAGGAGGAACGCGUGAGUACGGAGACAACCGUCAUCACUGUCAAGAGCGCAGUUCCUCACCACAACUUGGACGACGGCUAUGCCUCUUCGGCCAGUUCACCACACAGCACCGGCCUGGUGUCAUCACAGUCGCAGCUUUGUGGCAAGAAGAGGACGCGGGGAAGCCAGAGGAGUGCAGGAGGGAAGCAGUCGCCCAAAUCGCAGCAUUCAACUUCCAGCGAUGACAGUGACAACGUCGUUAAUAGAGAAGUGGAGGUGCGACUAGUGCAGUUGGGCUUGGGAGGGGGUGGGGGCGGCAAAGCGGGGGGAUACGAGGUGGUGCUGUCCAAUGUGGACGGGGUGGGUGGGGCGGAGGGUGGUGAUGGCAGGGAGACAUGGACCAGCAAUGCUGACUUUUUGCUCUCCAUCAUCGGAUUCGCUGUCGACCUGGCCAACGUUUGGCGAUUUCCCUACCUCUGCUAUCGCAACGGAGGAGGUGCAUUCCUGGUGCCCUAUCUUCUAAUGCUUGUGUUCGGAGCCGUGCCUCUGUUCUACAUGGAGCUCAUUCUGGGCCAGUAUAACCGACAGGGUCCUGUCAGUGUGUGGAGGAUAUGUCCCCUCUUCAAAGGCGUGGGCCUGUGCGCGGUGCUUGUUGCGUUCUACGUGUCGUUUUACUACAACGUGAUCAUCAGCUGGUCGCUGUACUUCCUAAUGGCGUCGAUGACCAGCAACCUACCCUGGCUGCAUUGCAAUAACACGUGGAACACCCCCCUCUGCACUGACUCUGUCGUCAACGCCUCCCUACUCAGUCACUCGCCCGCCUCCGAGUACUUCCAUCGCGGUGUCCUAGAGAUGCAGCGCUCGCCUGGACUACACGAGAUGGGUUUCCCCAAGUGGCAGCUGGUCCUGUGCCUGGCCACUGUCUACUCUAUGCUCUACCUAUCGUUGUUCAAAGGCGUCAAGUCUUCGGGCAAAGUGGUGUGGAUCACAGCCACCAUGCCCUAUGUCGUGCUCUCCAUUCUGCUAGUGCGAGGUCUGUCGUUGCCCGGCGCGCUGUCCGGCAUCCAGUACUACUUGCAGCCCGAUUUGUCCAAGCUCAAGGAGACGCAAGUGUGGGUGGAUGCAGCAGUUCAGAUUUUCUACAGUGUGGGAGCUGGGUUCGGAGUACACCUGUCCUAUGCUUCCUACAAUAGUUUCAACAAUAACUGCUACCGUGACUGCAUUGUGACAGCUUGUGUCAACUCGUUUACGUCGUUCUUUUCUGGCUUUGUCAUUUUCACCUACCUUGGAUUCAUGUCUCACAAGCAGGGUGUACACAUAAAGGAUGUGGCUACUGAAGGUCCUGGCCUGGUGUUUCAGGUCUACCCUGAAGCAGUGGCUACAUUGCCAGGCUCACAGUUGUGGUCAAUACUCUUCUUCUUCAUGCUCAUCAUGCUUGGACUUGACAGUGGGAUGGGUGGUCUGGAGUGUGUGAUCACUGGCCUGAUGGAUGAGUUGAGACCAUUCCUGCGAGGCUUCCGUUACCCAAGAGAGGUGUUCACCCUCUGCGUUGUCUUCCUUUCCUUCUCUGUUGCAACUAUUAACGUCACUCCGGGUGGCAUCUACUCGUUCCACCUGCUGGACACGUACGCGGCGGGCAUCUCGCUGCUGUGCUCGGCCCUGUUCGAGGCGGUCGCCGUGUCCUGGUUCUACGGCCUCGAGCGAUUCUCCAACGACGUCGAGGCUAUGAUUGGCCAGCGGCCAGGCCUCUACUGGCGCAUCUGCUGGAAGUUCAUCAGCCCUGCAUUCAUCAUUGGCGUGGUGAUGUUUGGCCUGCUGUACCACGAGCCUCUGUCCUACAACGAGUACAGCUACCCGGGCUGGGCUGAGUGGGUGGGGUGGUCGCUCGCCCUCUCCUCCAUACUCAUGAUUCCGGCGGCAGCCAUCUUCCAAAUUGCCACCACACCUGGAUCUCUCUCAGAGAGAAUAGCGAUCUCUAUUUCACCGGUUGAAGAAAGAGAAAUGAUUACAAGAACCAAAGAUGUGAGCAGGUUCAAAGCAAAACAUUGGCUCUAUGUCUAAGAUGCAGAUUGCCGAGAAAAAAAUGGGACCAUGAUUUUAUAGUCAAGGAUGACAAACAGUAUAAUAAUGACAUAUUCAAUGCAAUUUAUUCUAUUAUUGUACAGUGGGCUAUCAGACCAGCUCUAAUAAAUGGAUUGAGAGGAAGUUUAACUAUUGAAGCCUCCUAAAACGUAUCAGCAACUAUAUAUAUUAUUCGUCAAAAAUAUGAUUGUCAGUAUCAUAUUACUUCGAGAUUGUAAUAGAUGAAAAGGAUGAUGCUUUCAUGAGCUUCAGGCUUGUGCAUGAGUAAUUAGACGGAUGAUGAGAGAUGAGUGAACCUACUGCUUUAGGUAUACUCCGAACCACCGGAAGCGAUUGCAUUCAGAGGAGUUUGGCUCUUAAAAGUCCAAGGUCACCCUUAUAAUGGGAGUAGCAGCGCAUGAAGCUCAACUUAUCUUAUCCAUAGCUUAUCAGCCGACCACAAAAGUAUCAGCCCCCAAUCUGCAUUAUUGAAACCUUUUCAUAUAAUUGAAUGAAAUGAAAUAAAAAUAUUCUUUAGUGGGCAGAGUUAGACUU